rnacentral:rRNA from 1 species
AGACUUCUGCAUCUUUAGGAUAUNCUAGUCCAACAUCGAGGUCACAACCCCCCCUUUCGAUAAGGUCUCUCAAGGGAGAUUAUGCUGUUAUCCCUGCGGUAACUAAUUUUUUUAAUCGGCUUUGGGCAUCAAGACUCAUUAGUAUUUUAAAAUAUAGGAAGCUUUUUUUGUUCCUCGGUCGCCCCAACCAAAAAUACUGAUAGCUGUAAAUUUAUUAAAAUAUAAGUAGUUCUAUUUAUUUUUUAAGCUCGACAGGG